AGAGUUUGAUCAUGGCUCAGGAUGAACGCUAGCUACAGGCUUAACACAUGCAAGUCGAGGGGAAACGACAUCGAAAGCUUGCUUUUGAUGGGCGUCGACCGGCGCACGGGUGAGUAACGCGUAUCCAACCUGCCCACCACUUGGGGAUAACCUUGCGAAAGUAAGACUAAUACCCAAUGACGUCUCUAGAAGACAUCUGAAGGAGAUUAAAGAUUUAUCGGUGAUGGAUGGGGAUGCGUCUGAUUAGGCUUGUUGGCGGGGUAACGGCCCGACCAAGGCGACGAUCAGUAGGGGUUCUGAGAGGAAGGUCCCCCANACUUGGAACUGAGACACGGUCCAAACUCCUACGGGAGGCA
rnacentral:rRNA from 1 species